GAUGAACGCUGGCGGCGUGCUUAACACAUGCAAGUCGAACGAAGCACUUUAUUUGAUUUCCUUCGGGACUGAUUAUUUUGUGACUGAGUGGCGGACGGGUGAGUAACGCGUGGGUAACCUGCCUUGUACAGGGGGAUAACAGUUGGAAACGGCUGCUAAUACCGCAUAAGCGCACGGUAUCGCAUGAUGCAGUGUGAAAAACUCCGGUGGUAUAAGAUGGACCCGCGUUGGAUUAGCUAGUUGGUGAGGUAACGGCCCACCAAGGCGACGAUCCAUAGCCGACCUGAGAGGGUGACCGGCCACAUUGGGACUGAGACACGGCCCAAACUCCUACGGGAGGCAGCAGUGGGGAAUAUUGCACAAUGGGCGAAAGCCUGAUGCAGCGACGCCGCGUGAGCGAAGAAGUAUUUCGGUAUGUAAAGCUCUAUCAGCAGGGAAGAUAAUGACGGUACCUGACUAAGAAGCACCGGCUAAAUACGUGCCAGCAGCCGCGGUAAUACGUAUGGUGCAAGCGUUAUCCGGAUUUACUGGGUGUAAAGGGAGCGCAGGCGGUGCGGCAAGUCUGAUGUGAAAGCCCGGGGCUCAACCCCGGUACUGCAUUGGAAACUGUCGUACUAGAGUGUCGGAGGGGUAAGCGGAAUUCCUAGUGUAGCGGUGAAAUGCGUAGAUAUUAGGAGGAACACCAGUGGCGAAGGCGGCUUACUGGACGAUAACUGACGCUGAGGCUCGAAAGCGUGGGGAGCAAACAGGAUUAGAUACCCUGGUAGUCCACGCCGUAAACGA
rnacentral:rRNA from 1 species